rnacentral:rRNA from 1 species
AUGGCAAGAGAAAAGAAAUUGAUGAUGUAUAAACUUUCAACACAAUCAAAAGGGUUAACAGGACCAACUGCAGUCUGGAGCCAUGAUUGUGAGCAGGUAUUUAAAAGUGUCGAAUCGGAAUGCCACAAAUCAGUUCUAGUUGCAUCUUCUUACUGGACAGCAAACCCAGCGGUUGUGUCUGUCACCCCAUAUGAUUCUCUUAAACAACAAAAUGAGGGAUGUCCAGCCACCGCAUAUGGGUCGCCACACUGCUGUAUUUCCUACUCCCUCCGUUCGGAAUUACUUGUCGCGAAAAUGGAUGUAUCUAGAUGUAUUUUAGUUCUAGAUACAUCCAUUUUCAAGACAAGUAAUUUCGAACGGAGGGAGUAG